rnacentral:siRNA from 1 species
CUAAUAUGGUAUCAGAGAGUC